rnacentral:rRNA from 1 species
GUCACACCCCCUCAAGCCGCGCCGUGUGUGUGGUUUUGGUGUUGGGGCUCGCCAGUCCGGCGGCCCUUAAAGACAGUGGCGGUGCCGUCGUGGUCUCUACGCGUAGUACGAUUCUCGCGACAGAGCCGCAGCGGCAGCUAGCCAAUCAAUCCUUCUAUUUUUUAAGG